rnacentral:lncRNA from 1 species
UUGAUCUGCAGCCUUAAUUCUAAACUGCCCUGCCUCAGCCAACAGCUAUCUGCAGCUCAUUUCCUGCUUUCUGGCCAUCUUAUCUCUGUCUUCAAGCAUUCCUCAGCUUUCUCUUUCCAGAACAGGAUUAUGAACCGACACCAUACAGAGGUAUUUGUAAGAAAGAAGGUGGAUGCCGGAAUCCUUUCUUCAAACAGAAGCUUACCAGUAAGUGCAGACUAAUACAACAGCAAAUUCACUUUCAAUUGAUACAAUCUUUCACGUCAGAGCUGCUUCUUGUAACACAGAAGUUUUCAGAUUCUAUGAAAAGGUAUUGAAUGAAUUGAAGGCUCUGUUAAGGGGGCAACUAUCUCCCCUCCCCAUUCUCCUAUCAGCCCAUAAAACAGGAACUGACAACCUCUUGGAAGAAUUGGGAAGGAACUUUUCGAUUUUCUCUGUACAAUCUUCACUGGUUCCUCUCUGUGAGAGGAGGAGGGACCUCUUGGAUUGGUGUCGUUGGGAAAAGGGUAUCAAGUGUGCAUGGCUCAGCCUGUUCCUGGCUCUCUCUCUGGGACUGACCUGACUGCAAGCAGCAUGUUCUCUGUCUGCUCCUGCCUCCUCCAGGCAAUGAGCACCAGGGCGGGUCCAGCCCUUGCUUGGGAGGACUUCAAUAGUCCAGCUGCUCUGCCGCGAGUGGGUGAGUGAGUUCAAGUCAGAGGAGAAGACACAGAAAGCUCAUUUGGGCCUUGGGUCUUAGCCACAUCCUCCAGUCCAUCUGGACUAGCAAUAAAGCUGACAUUUUAAUCCCUACUUGUCUCCUGUGACUAUUUCUCAAUUGGAUCAGACCUCGGAGAAGUGAGGGAUGUGAUUAACUAGCACCCGCAAACCCCAACAUCUGUUGAAUAUUUAGCCCCAGCGGGAAAAGCCAAAGUUAGAUGAAAACACUGGUUUAAAAUUCUGAUAAUUAUUAGACAAUACUUCUCUAUCCUUGUUUGUAUGUCUUUUGAUCUUACUAUAAAAUGUGUAUCAUGUGGGUUUAAAAAAAUUUUUUUAAAUUUUCUUUUUGAAGGUAAGAGCCUGGAUUGAGAGUGAUAAGGCUCUUCUGAGUCUUGGCUACCACUUACUCACUCUGUCCCUUGACUUCUCUGGGCUUCAAUUUUACCAAUUAUAUAAAAUGAGGAGGUUAGACUAGAUGAUCCAUGAGGGCCAUCCCAAGCUUCGGUGUUCUUUCAUUCAUUUGACCCCUUUUUAUUGAGUAUGUGUUGAGUGUGUGCUGGCAGCUGGCUCUGUGAUGUACAAAACAAACCUGGCCCCUGCCAUUUGGGGUUUAGAGUCUCAUAGAAAAGACAGACAUCAAACACACCACAAAUAAGUGGACAAUUACAAAUAUUUCACUUGUUUAGCCAUUAAAUGUUCCUAAGUGGUCAUUUGGAUUGUGAAGAUUCCUACUUCUUCUCAGUUAUCCACACUCAGGGCAAACCUUGCAGGGUCCAGCAGUCACACACAGUGGUGCCACUACUGCAGCUGUGUCCCAGCCAUCGCUCUCGGGAAGACAACAAAGAGGCUUCCAAAGGGCUGGCCUUUUGGAUUAAAAAAAAAGUUAAGCAUUUUUUAAAAAGUCACAAAUGAGUAACAUGCUUGUUAUAAAAAUUUAAGCAAUAAAGAAAAAAAAAUUGAAAGGAAAAAAUCUUUCUCUUGUCCCCUCCAAGCCCACUUGGAAAAAGAAAUAAUGGGUAGAUGUGUGUCCUUCCAUUAAGCUGCAUAUUUAACUGCAGGCUCUAGGAGGGCAGGGAUGGCGUCUGCCUUACCCACUGCUGUAUCCCUGGUGGGUGCCCAGGAAAUACUUGCUGAUUGAACUAGUGCAUAAGUAGUAAUCACACAUAAAGGCUCAUAGAUAGCUAUUUUUUUAAAGAUUGAAAAGGAAAUCAUGCCACAUAUGUUUUUUUUCUUGCACCUUCCUUGUUUUUUUUUUUUUUUCACUCAAAAAUCUGUCAUGGAAUCCCUCCAUGUAUUGGUUCCUAAUUUACCCAUUCCUCUUGUGCUGGGUUGAAUUGUAUCGCCCUCAAAAGCUACACUGAAGUCCUAAUCCCAGGUCAGGCACUGUGGCUCACACCUGUCAUCCCCAGCACCCUGGGAGGCUGAGGCAGGUGGAUGACCUGAGGUCAGGAGAUCGAGAACAGCCUGGCCGACAUGGUGAAACCCUGUCUCUACUAAAAAUACAAAAAUUAGUUGGGCAUGGUGGUGGGUGCCUAUAAUCCUAGCUACUCAGGAGGCUAAGGCAGGAGAAUCACUUGAACCAGUGAGCUGAGAUCAUGCCACUGCAUUCCAGCCUGGGCGACAGAGUGAGAUCCUGUUUCAAAAAAAAAAAAAAAGAAGUCAUAGGUACCUAAUCCCUGGUACCUAUGAAUGUUACCUUAUUUGGAAAUAGGGUAUUUGCAGACAUGAUCAAGUUAAGAUGAGGCCAUGCUCGAUUAGGGUGGGUCCUAAUCCAAUAUAGCUGGUGCCUUUAUAAAAAGAGACAGAGACUGCAGCCAUAAAAAAGAAUGGGUUUAUGUCUUUUGCAGGGACAUGGAUGAAGCUGGAAGCCAUCAUUCUCAGCAAACUAACACAGGAACAGAAAACCAAACACCGCAUGUUCUCACUCGUAAGUGGGAGUUGAACAAUGAGAACACAUGGACACAGGGAGGGGAACAUCACACACCAGGGCUUGACAGGGGUUGAAGGGCAAGGGGAUUGAGAGCAUUAGGACAAAUACCUAAUGCAUGUGGGGCUUCAAACCUACGUGACAGGUUCAUAGAUGCAGCAAACCACCAUGGCACAUAUAUACCUAUGUAACAAACUUGCACGUUCUGCACAUGUAUCUUAAAGUAAAAAAAAAAAAAAACUUAAAGUAAAAAAAAAAAAAAGAGUGAGCGUGAGACAGAAACAGAGACACAGGGAGGAUGUCACACAAUGACAGAGGAAAGAUUGGUGUGAUGCAGCUGCAAGCCAAGAAGCGCUGAGGGCGGAUAGUCGCCCGUCAGAAUCUAGAAGAGGCAAGGAAGGAGUUUUCCCAGAGCCUUGGAGGGAACAGAACCCUGCCGACACCUUGAUUUGGGACUUCUGGUCUCCAGAUUGCAAGACAAUCCAUUUCUGUUGUUUUAAGCCACUCAGUUUGUGGCAGUUGAUUACAGCAGCCCUAGGAAAUGAAUCCCUGCCUCUUCAGGUGUAUUUAGGUUGCUUCCAGUGUUGAACUAUCAUAACAAUGAAAACUGCUUCCAUGGACUGUUUGGAGAGGGGAGCCCUAGGAGGUUUUUUUUUUUUUUGAGAAAGGGUCUCACUCUGUUGCCCAGGCUGGAAUGCAGUGGCGUAAUCUUGGCUCACUGCAACCUCUGCCUCCUGGGUUCGAGCAAUUCUUGUGCCUUAGCCACCUAAGUAGCUGAGACUAACAGGCGUGUGCCACCAUGCCCAGCUAAUUUUUGUAUGUUUAGUAAAGUUGGGGUUCUGCCAUGUUGGCCAGGCUGGUCUUGAACUCCUGACCUCAAGUGAUCUGCCUGCCUCAGCCUCCCAAAGUGCUGGGAUUACAGGCGUGAGUCACUGUGUCCAGUCCCCCCUUUUUUUUUGAGAUUGGGUCUCACUCUGUUGCCCAGGCUGGGGUGCAGUGGUGUGAUCAUGACUCACUGCAGCCUCAACCUCCCAAACUCAAGGGUUCCUCCUACCUCAGCCUUCUGAGUAACUGGGACUACAGGUGUGUACCACCAUGCCUGGCUAACUUUUUUUUUUUUUUUGUAAAGACAGGGUUUUGCCAUGUUGCCCAGGCUGGUUUCGAACUCCUAGCCUCAAGUGAUCCUCCCACCUUGGCCUUCCAAAGUGCUGGGAUUAUAGGUGUGAGCCACUGUGCCUGGCCCUGAGUUUAUUCUUGUCUCCAGGAAACCCUUGGAAUAAUCAUAGACCCUAGCCUUGGGGCCUUAGCAUCAACUCAUAACCUUGGCAGGAUUGCCAGCUAAAAUAUGGGACACCUGAGUCAUAUUUGGGACAUACUUAUGUUACAAAAGUAUUUGUUUUUUAUUUGAAAUUCCAGUUUAACAGGGCUUCUGUGUUUUUCUUUGGUAAACCUGACAACCCUAAACCUCAAUCUCCGCCAUUGUAAUCCUGAGCAGUUGGGCUGUGAGCAGCCUACACUAUCCCAGAAAGAGCCUGAGGGUCAUGGUUUUCUGCCUGGUGACUGUAGGAGCACUGGAAGAUCUCCCCUCGUCCUGGAUCUCUGACUGUCUUUUAGCAUCCUGAGUGUUCUCAGUGGGACCUGGAUGUCCUGUGGCACCUGCCUCCCCCAACAGUGCCCAGCUAAGCUUCUCUUCUGCCCAUCUCAGCAGCAAAGUGCUCAUUCGCUCCACCCCACCUUUGCCUUGGCAGUGCCUGUCCAUCUCCCUCCAGCCUGCUCUCCCCCUACCUACUCACCCCUACUGGGCUUAGGCAAGACACAUGUGGGCCUGGCCCGCAGGGGUCCACAGGGCAGAACUAACUCAUCAGCUCUAGGUGUGCUGAGUGGAACUGGAGAGGGAAGGGUGCCAUGUGAGCUUGUGAAGACGGUGGGCAGUGCCUCCCAAACUUGCCCUAUUGUAAAAAUUGCCUAAGGGCUGGUUGGAAAUGCUAUUCCUGGUUGGAAUCAGAGAUCUCCUGGGAGGGGAAUCACAGUAGCUCAGGGACCUGGCCGAGACUGGAGGCUUGGGGGUGGCCCCCUGCAAGGAAGCGCUGUCCAAGCAGAGGUCUGAAGGCUCAGUAGGAGUCAGGCAGGUGAGGCUUUGGGGGGCAGGGUGGGGAUCCAGGAGAGGAAAGAGCAUAGCAAAUGCCUUGAUGGGAGAAGAAGAGCCUGGCCUGUCUGAGGCCAGAGAAGAGGCCACUGUGGUUAGCGUGUGGAGAGCGAACAGAAAGGCGAGUUGAGCUUGGAGAAAGCAGGCGGAGCCACAUCUGGCCAGGCCUUGUUGGGCUGGUUAAGAAUUCAGCCUAAAGCAAUGGUAAUGGCCUGGGGCAGGCACCAACUGAACCUUUUUCAAAG